rnacentral:rRNA from 1 species
ACGGGGGGUGCAAGCGUUGUUCGGAAUUAUUGGGCGUAAAGCGCGUGUAGGCGGUUUGUUAAGUCUGAUGUGAAAGCCCCGGGCUCAACCUGGGUAGUGCAUUGGAAACUGGCAGACUUGAAUACAAGUGAGGGUAGUGGAAUUCCUGGUGUAGGGGUGAAAUCCGUAGAUAUCAGGAAGAACACCGAUGGCGAAGGCGGCUGCCUGAACCAAUAUUGACGCUGAGGCGCGAAAGCGUGGGUAUCAAACAG